rnacentral:rRNA from 1 species
UGCGUAGGCUGUGCAGUUAGUUGGGUGUGAAAUCCCUCGGCUCAACCGAGGAACUGCGCCCAAUACUGCUGUACUAGAGGAAGAUAGGGGUAAGCGGAACUGAUGGUGGAGCGGUGAAAUGCGUUGAUAUCAUCAGGAACACCGGUGGCGAAGGCGGCUUACUGGAUCUUUUCUGACGCUGAUGCACGAAAGCUAGGGUAGCGAACG